UACGUAGGGGGCUAGCGUUGUCCGGAAUCAUUGGGCGUAAAGAGCGUGUAGGCGGUCCGGUAAGUCCGCUGUGAAAGUCGGGGGCUCAACCCUCGAAUGCCGGUGGAUACUGUCGGGCUAGAGUACGGAAGAGGCGAGUGGAAUUCCUGGCGUAGCGGUGAAAUGCGCAGAUAUCAGGAGGAACACCUAUUGCGAAGGUAGCUCGCUGGGACGUAACUGACGCUGAGACGCGAAAGCGUGGGGAGCAAACAGG
rnacentral:rRNA from 1 species